rnacentral:rRNA from 1 species
GGGCCCGCACAAGCGGUGGAGUAUGUGGUUUAAUUCGAUGCAACGCGAAGAACCUUACCAGGGUUUGACAUCCUGCGAAUCUCUUGGAAACAGGAGAGUGCCUUCGGGAGCGCAGUGACAGGUGGUGCAUGGCUGUCGUCAGCUCGUGUCGUGAGAUGUUGGGUUAAGUCCCGCAACGAGCGCAACCCACGUCUUUAGUUGCCAGCAUUUAGUUGGGCACUCUAGAGAGACUGCCGGUGAUAAACCGGAGAAGGUGUGGAUGACGUCAAGUCAUCAUGCCCCUUACAUCUGGGCUACACACGUACUACAAUGCUACGGACAAAGAGCAGCAAGUUCGCGAGGACAAGCAAAUCUCAUAAACCGUGGCUCAG